GCAAGUCGAGCGAGAAAGGCCUUCGGGCUGAGUACAGCGGCGGACGGGUGAGUAACGCGUAGGAAUCUACCUGGUAGUGGGGGACAACAUGGGGAAACUCAUGCUAAUACCGCAUACGCCCUAUGGGGGAAAGCGGGGGAUCUUCGGACCUCGCGCUAUUGAUGAGCCUGCGUAGGAUUAGCUUGUUGGUGAGGUAAAAGCUCACCAAGGCGACGAUCUUUAGCUGGUCUGAGAGGAUGACC
rnacentral:rRNA from 1 species